UACGGGGGGGGCAAGCGUUGUUCGGAAUUACUGGGCGUAAAGGGCUCGUAGGCGGCCAACUAAGUCAGACGUGAAAUCCCUCGGCUUAACCGGGGAACUGCGUCUGAUACUGGAUGGCUUGAGUUUGGGAGAGGGGUGCGGAAUUCCAGGUGUAGCGGUGAAAUGCGUAGAUAUCUGGAGGAACACCGGUGGCGAAGGCGGCAUCCUGGACCAACACUGACACUGAGGAGCGAAAGCCAGGGGAGCAAACGGG
rnacentral:rRNA from 1 species